UCGAUAUUUAUGAUAUACUUUUCAUAAUAGAAUAUUUGGGUAUUCGUUAAUUUUGUUAAUUUAUUAAUAAUUAUUUAUUUUUAUUUAUCAUUAGUAUAAUUUCAAUACUUGCUGUGAAUUAAUCGUGGUUUAUUGUUUCCAGUUUUUAAUAUUUUGUGUCACAUAGAGAUUUUUGUUCAUGCAAGAAAUAUAUAAAGAGAUUUAGUUUUUAAUUUUAAAUAAAAUUUAAUUUUUAUUGUUCUUCAAAAUAUUCAAGUUGUCUUUUUAUAGGCCUGCAUCCAUAUUGGGAAAAAACUAGCUUAGGGAAUGGUUUUUAUAAAUAUUUUUUAUAAUAAAAUAAAAUAAAUUAGUAAUAAAAUAAAUAUUAUCGCAUCUAUUACGCACAAUUUUAAUUAUUAAAAUCAAAAUUUAUAUAUUUUAUAUUGCUAAGGCAUUUAUUAUAAUAUUACUUCUCGAUCAUAUAUCUCAUUAAUUGAUACUUGCUGUUUAAUAUAUUGUAAUAUAUUGUAAUAGAUUUUCGUACUAAAAUUUGUCACACGCGUAAUGCAAUUACGAAUAAAAUUUCGCAAGUCUAAAUUUUAUAUCGAAUGGACUAUGAAAAAAAUAUAACAUAUAUUGCUGUUUAAAUUGUACAUAAAUUAUACGCUUGAUAAAUUAUAUCGUUGCCCAUGCACUAAGAAUUUCAAAUGGACCAAAGUAGAAUCGAAUAUUUUAAAAACUACGUCAAAACAUUUCCAAGAAUUCUAAAUCAAUCGUACUUGACACUAAUCCAGAUUAUUCCAGAUUAAUAAAUCGAUCGAUAAUAUUACUUUAUUCCAGUUUCUUGCUUUCAAGAGUAUUAAAAUAUAUCAAGUUUUUCUGAAAUUGAAAAAAAAAAAAGAAUAAAAUUUCUUUAAAUAUCUUUAAAUAUAAUAUAUUAAAAAUAUAUUAUAUUAAAUAUUAGAAAUAUUUAAAAAAAAACAAAUAAAAUCAUCUCUAUGUUCCAAAAACAAAAUCAUUCAUCUUCCAUAUUCCUUCAAUUCCAAGACAAUUUCAAUUUCAUCCGAAAUAUCUUUCCUUCCUAAAUAAAUUUUCUAAUCGAAUGAUUAUUCCAGGAAUCGUGGCGCCCAAAAAUCGUUUGUCAAUCUACCAAUUACCAUCACACGAAUCUAUCUCCAAGAAGGGAAAACGAUAGAGUAAGAAAAUGAAGGAAUGAUUGGCGUAUAAAUCGUUCUUUCAGUUACGACAGCGAAAAAAGAGAGAGAGAGAGAGGAGAAAAAAAAGAAAAAGGAACGGAACGUUAAGUAAAAACGAAAGUGCGCGGUGAAAGCAAACUCGUAGGAUCAUGUAAAGUACUUACAAGACCGAUAAUUACCGCGUCGAGUUUUAAAACGUUGAUAGAGGAAAAAAUUAAAUAUCAGAAUAUGGUAAAAAUUAAAGGUCGUGCAGUAAUAUUCCCGUGUAAUUUAGACUAGUACGCGAUUCUUUGUUUAUUAACAGCUCGUGUACGUGCCUUAUUGUAUUAUUACGGCUUAUUGUAUAAUACGCCUAGACACUUAAGAAACAAUUGUCUCUAAAGCAACUGAAUGGUCGGUCGAUCGUGUUUGUUGUAGCUGUUAUUAUCGCAAUAUAAUUAAUUUUGAUGUAUAAUGAACAAAUGAUGGAAAAUAAGUGUAAAUGAUAGAAAAUAUGAUAAUUGUUUAAGUAGGAAGUUUUUAAAAAAUGAAAGAUCUUCUUUGAUGAGAAAAUUGAGAGAAUAAAAUUCCGUUUCAGCAAUUCGGCAAAAGAAAUGUUAUUAAUGUAUAAUACCAUGUAUAAUAUUCGAAUGAAAAAAAUAAUAGAGGAAUAUUUGUAAUUUAAAUUAUAUACGAAUACGUUAUAUACGAAACGUACUUCAUAAUAAGUAUAUCGAUAUAAAAGUUGAUCGAUGGGAAACGUCGAAAUAUUUCUAUUUCGCAGUUAUUCAUUCCAAAACAUUGAAAUUUAAAUACGUGACCGAUAAAGGAUCGAUCCUUGAAUUUCGAUCAGCAACGCCAAUUUCUACAUAAAGUUUUCUACUUUCAACUUCAUUCAGUGACAACUAUUUGUCUUCAUUUAUAUUGUGCUGCUCAUUGAUCUUGGCAGAAUAAGGCAAGUAUAAGCAGAUCUGAGGAAAUCUAUGUGAAGUAAACCUGUGUGAAAGGAGAAAGAGGUUUAAUUGUAAACAAAAAAAAUAUCUCAACAUUCUUGGUAUUAAUUUAUAUUAAAUACCUAUGUCGAGCCAUAAUUUCUUUAUCAUCGGCGUGCACAAUUAAGGAAAGUAUUUCAAUCACAAUGAAUCUAUCGAAGGAUCAUUGAAGCUCGUUUCGAGAAAUUACUGCCCACGAUUAUUUCAGGUGGAACAACCGAUAAAAUUUAAUGCGACGCCGGGUCUCUUCCACGAUCCUUUGAACACGGCUGCGUAACCUGUUCUGAAAUCAUUAGAUUCAAUCUAGACACAUGGUGAUUCCACCGGUAAAACGGAAGAUAUCGAUUCUCGGUGGAAGCUUAAGCAUCCUGCUUACCAUAGUUUCAACGCAUUCCUCCAUAUCAUUCCAUAAUUAUAAGGGACAGUAACCACACAUGUGGCGGAGAAGUACGGUUUCGAACGCAUAGUAUCCACGGAUAUUAUUCGAAACGAAGUGUCCAAACGAUCGGAUAAGGCCUACGCCCUGGCACGUUAUUUGUCAAGGGGUCAACUGGUGCCAGAGGAUGUAUUAGUGGAAUUGAUCGCGAUAAGGAUGCUGGAGAACAUUCACAAGAAGAAAGGAUUCUUUAUAAGCGGAUUUCCCCGGGAUAAGAAACAAGGUAAAGUUUUUGAUAAAGAAAUACGAACACCUGAUCUCGUCAUACUUCUGCAUGUUCGAAAUUCCGUAAUGACCGACCGAGAAAUGGCAAAAAGCGUGAAAGCUACAGAGAGAGUAUCCGUCACUUUCGAUUAUAUCAAAAAUCGGAUCAAGGAUUUCCAUAGGCGGAACAAAUCUAUACUUAGACAUUACCGUAAAGUCUUGGUGAUAAUCGAUGCUGAGCCUGAAAUAAUGGUCGUGGUCGAAAAUGCGUGUGCAGUUAUAGAUAAUUUUUUAAAAAAGAAUUUUGGAGAAAGUUACGCAGUCUCAAUGCCAUCCACUUCCAAAUAAAUUUCGAAAUGAUAGAUUUUAUGUCAAAAGUGUUUAAUGUUUGUAUGAAAGAUCUUUUACAUAAAUAAGACAUAAUAUGUUAUUUAAGAGAGACUUUACUCAGAGUGCAUUAGAUUGUAAAUUUUUAAUUUGAUUAGAUGUAAUUUAAAUGUUAAUUGAUAAUAGUGGACGUACUGUAAAUAGAAGAAGCAUUGUUAAUUAAACAAGAAGAAUAUUUUUGCAAGGAAAUAUAAUUUUUUCCUUCA